UUGAACUCGCUGUGAAGAUGCAGUGUACCCGCGGCAAGACGGAAAGACCCCGUGAACCUUUACUAUAGCUUGACACUGAACAUUGAGCCUUGAUGUGUAGGAUAGGUGGGAGGCUUUGAAGUGUGGACGCCAGUCUGCAUGGAGCCGACCUUGAAAUACCACCCUUUAAUGUUUGAUGUUCUAACGUUGACCCGUAAUCCGGGUUGCGGACAGUGUCUGGUGGGUAGUUUGACUGGGGCGGUCUCCUCCUAAAGAGUAACGGAGGAGCACGAAGGUUGGCUAAUCCUGGUCGGACAUCAGGAGGUUAGUGCAAUGGCAUAAGCCAGCUUGACUGCGAGCGUGACGGCGCGAGCAGGUGCGAAAGCAGGUCAUAGUGAUCCGGUGGUUCUGAAUGGAAGGGCCAUCGCUCAACGGAUAAAAGGUACUCCGGGGAUAACAGGCUGAUACCGCCCAAGAGUUCAUAUCGACGGCGGUGUUUGGCACCUCGAUGUCGGCUCAUCACAUCCUGGGGCUGAAGUAGGUCCCAAGGGUAUGGCUGUUCGCCAUUUAAAGUGGUACGCGAGCUGGGUUUAGAACGUCGUGAGACAGUUCGGUCCCUAUCUGCCGUGGGCGCUGGAGAACUGAGGGGGGCUGCUCCUAGUACGAGAGGACCGGAGUGGACGCAUCACUGGUGUUCGGGUUGUCAUGCCAAUGGCACUGCCCGGUAGCUAAAUGCGGAAGAGAUAAGUGCUGAAAGCAUCUAAGCACGAAACUUGCCCCGAGAUGAGUUCUCCCUGACCCUUUAAGGGUCCUGAAGGAACGUUGAAGACGACGACGUUGAUAGGCCGGGUGUGUAAGCGCAGCGAUGCGUUGAGCUAACCGGUACUAAUGAACCGUGAGGCUUAACCUUACAACGCCGAAGGUGUUU
rnacentral:rRNA from 1 species